rnacentral:rRNA from 1 species
GUCCACGCCCUAAACGAUGUCAACUGGUUGUCGGGGAAGCAAUUCCUUGGUAACGAAGCUAACGCGUGAAGUUGACCGCCUGGGGAGUACGGCCGCAAGGUUAAAACUCAAAGGAAUUGACGGGGACCCGCACAAGCGGUGGAUUAUGUGGAUCAAUUCGAUGCAACGCGAAAAACCUUACCUACCCUUGACAUGUACGGAACCCUUCAGAAAUGGAGGGGUGCCCGAAAGGGAACCGUAACACAGGUGCUGCAUGGCUGUCGU